AGGCUUUGAUCCUGGCUCAGGACGAACGCUGGCGGCGUGCCUAACACAUGCAAGUCGAACGGGGUUUUAGGUCAGCUUGCUGACCGAAAGACCUAGUGGCGCACGGGUGAGUAACACGUGGGCAAUCUGCCCGGAAGUCUGGGAUAACACCCCGAAAGGGGUGCUAAUACCGGAUAUCUUCUCGAGAUCGCAUGAUCUUGCGAAGAAAGUUUUUCGCUUCCGGAUGAGCCCGCGUCCCAUUAGCUAGUUGGUGAGGUAACGGCUCACCAAGGCAACGAUGGGUAGCUGGUCUGAGAGGACGAUCAGCCACACUGGAACUGAGACACGGUCCAGACUCCUACGGGAGGCAGCAGUGGGGAAUCUUGCGCAAUGGGCGAAAGCCUGACGCAGCAACGCCGCGUGAACGAUGAAGGCCUUCGGGUCGUAAAGUUCUGUCAGGGGGGAAGAUAAUGACGGUACCCCCGGAGGAAGCCCCGGCGUACAAACGUGC
rnacentral:rRNA from 1 species